GCCAUGGUAAGGAGCCCAGGGAUUGCCUCUGUGUUAGGAGUGUGGAGACCAAUUUCUUGUACUCCUCAGAGUGGACAUACACCUGAACCGAUUUAAGCUUCAGCCAGGUCCUGAAUCUUACGUUUUGGGAGCAUAGAGAUACAAUGUGAGUAAUAGUCAAAAUUCUUACCUGGGUUUCGGUGCUUCAUUU
rnacentral:lncRNA from 1 species